UACGUAGGGUGCGAGCGUUGUCCGGAAUUAUUGGGCGUAAAGAGCUCGUAGGCGGCUCGUUGCGUCGGCUGUGAAAACCGGCAGCUCAACUGUGGGCUUGCAGCCGAUACGGGCGGGCUUGAGUUCGGUAGGGGAGACUGGAAUUCCUGGUGUAGCGGUGAAAUGCGCAGAUAUCAGGAGGAACACCGGUGGCGAAGGCGGGUCUCUGGGCCGAUACUGACGCUGAGGAGCGAAAGCGUGGGGAGCGAACAGG
rnacentral:rRNA from 1 species